rnacentral:rRNA from 1 species
UGAUGACGAGACGCUAAGGCGUUGAAGCAGUGUAUGUCAGACUUCCAAGAAAAGCUCGCAAUGUCACAAAUAAGAAAUGCCUGUACCAUAACCGACACAGGUGGGUAGGUAGAGUAUACUAAGGGGCGCGAGAUAACUCUCUCUAAGGAACUCGGCAAAAUGACUCCGUAACUUCGGGAGAAGGAGUGCCUUAUUUAUAAGGUUGCAAUAACAAGAUCCAAGCAACUGUUUAUCAAAAACACAGGUCUCCGCUAAGUCGUAAGACGAUGUAUGGGGGCUGACGCCUGCCCAGUGCCAGAAGGUUAAAGAAGUUGGUUAGUGUAUGCGAAGCUGAUGACUGAAGCCCUGGUGAACGGCGGCCGUAACGAUAACGGUCCUAAGGUAGCGAAAUUCCUUGUCGGGUAAGUUCCGACCCGCACGAAAGGCGUAAUGAUUUGGAUACUGUCUCGGAGAGAGGCUCGGUGAAAUAGACUUGUCUGUGAAGAUGCGGACUACCUGCACCAGGACAGAAAGACCCUAUGAAGCUUUACUGUAACUUGAAAUUGGAAUUGGACUUUGCUUGCGCAGUAUAGGUGGGAAGCGUUGAAAAUAUUCUUGCGGGAGUAUUGGAGCUAUCAGUGAGAUACCACUCUUGUAAUGUUAGAUUUCUAACUUUGAACCAUAAUCUGGUCAAAGAACAGUUUCAGGUGGGCAGUUUGACUGGGGCGGUCGCCUCCCAAAUGGUAACGGAGGCGUACAAAGGUUUCCUCUGAAUGGAUAGAAAUCGUAUCUAGAGUGUAAAGGCAUAAGGAAGCUUACUGUGAGACCUACAAGUCGAGCAGGGACGAAAGUCGGUCUUAGUGAUCUGACGGUACUGAGUGGAAAGGCCGUCACUCAACGGAUAAAAGUUACUCUAAGGAUAACAGGCUGAUCUCCCCCAAGAGUUCACAUCGACGGGGAGGUUUGGCACCUCGAUGUCGGCUCAUCGCAUCCUGGGGCGGUAGUACGUCCCAAGGGUUGGGCUGUUCGCCCAUGAAAGCGGUACGCGAGCUGGGUUCAGAACGUCGUGAGACAGUUCGGUCCAUAUCCGGUGUAGGCGCUAGAAUAUUGAGAGGAGCCUUCUUUAGUACGAGAGGACCGAGAAGGACACACCGCUGGUGUACCAGUUAUCGUGCCAACGGUAAACGCUGGGUAGCUAUGUGUGGAGUGGAUAACCGCUGAAAGCAUCUAAGUGGGAAGCCCACCUCGAGAUGAGUAUUCUC